ensembl:lncRNA
CAGCUGGGAUCUCUCACCAAGGGUUGAGGUGUGCUUGUUCCCUGGGCGGAGAUGGAGAGUGGGUCAGAUGCUACCAGCCGUCAGGGUGCGGCAUGAUGCACUUGUUCAGCCAAAGCUAGUGGUGGCCGUGACCUCAGGCAAAGGAAGAAGAGCAAAACCAACAGCCAGCAUCUGCUAAAAUCCUGGUGCCCGCUUCGUCCCCGCUCAGCACGCAGGAGCUGCAGGGAUUUGUGUGUAUUAUCCUUACAGGGGACCCUAGGCCACCAGGUCGGCUUCACGGAGGCUGCUGGGAAGUGCCUUGUCCCCAGCUAAGCUUCUUUCCCCGUUGGCACGUCGUAGGAGGAGGAUGAGAUUAGUGUUUUCUGCUGCACGAUGUCAGCUGAGGGAUGAGAACGGCGCACCGAGAGGAGGAGAGCUUCUGUGGGUGAAGACCAUCCCUUUCAAACGCGAAGCACAGCAAGUCCAAACCAGCACGUUUCCCCUUCUCCUUGGGGAUCAGGCUGCAGUAGUGAAGAGACAAAUGGAGCCAGUCCCCGGUGCUAAACUACAAAACCACAGGCUUCAGCAAAGCCCUUCAAGCCAGUCCGUCCCCCAGCAGUGUCGCUGCCCCUCGCUUUUGACUGAGGUCUGGAAAUAUCAGCAGGGGCUGGCCGUUGCCUGUAUCCCACGUGUUGCCACUGUCCUGCUGGGUGAUAUCAGGCAAGGACUGUCAGGGCUCAGCAUGGCAGAUAUAAUCUUCCAAGCCCAGCAUCCCCAUUCAGUCUGAGGACACCCAUGGCACCAUGGUGGGCUUAACUCCACCAUGGCACAGGCUCCAGCGAUCCCAAAAGGUAACUUGCAAAGAGUGCCUGGUCUGCUGCAGCAUUUGAGAAGCAGCAGGUUGCAUCAGCAAAGUGUUGGUAAUUUGUUAAAUUGCCUCAAUCUGUUUGAUAGCAAAACUUGCUGGCAUUUUCUGUGAGCUUUGCCUGUAGCUUUUGCAUCAGCCCAAGCUCAGCCCCAUACAGAUGCUCAGAGCUGACGUGUGCUAAAUUCUUACGUUGACCCUAAUAUGAGAUGUCAUUGUAAUUCUCCUAGCAGGCAUGGAUUGGCAGGUGAAAAAGCAAGUGCAUGGGCCUUUUUCAUUUACAGCAUGUUUCAUCCUGGGAUGAAAUUUAGCUCAUCAGUUGAAGCAUUGUGACUAAAAAGAGUUGCAAAGAAUGUGAGUACAUACCUGAGUGUGUUAGGUUAAAUAUUGCUGUGUUAGAUAAUCUUUGAACAGAAGUAGCCUCAUGCUUUCCUCAAGGUGUUAUUCAUGCUCUGCAGAAGGACAAUAUAAGGUUUUACAACACUGAAGUUCCAUGUACAGAGCAGGUGACUUGUCUUCUCUAAUGGCUACGUAGUUGUGGCUGCAGCGUUUGCCAAGAUCUUCUUGAUGGAAGUCUGGAUUCCUGCAUGGAUUUUUUACCAAGGGUUCCUGGAGAGUGUGGAGCCAGCAGGAAUGAGGAGAGGGACAGUCUGUUCUGUUGCUGGACUCUCUUUGCUGCAUUAAAGAAACCAGAAUGCAAAGAGUCAGAGCUGCUGGUGUGAGCUUCUGGUGUACAGCUUUCAGAUAAGCCAAGCUCUAGUGUGCUCCAGCACCAAGUUCCUUAUGAAAGAAGUUUCUGUUAAUACAUUUCAAGGGAAGGAAAUCAGCCCUGUGGUCAACAGGGUGGCACAAGGAGCUCUGAACUCUUGCUAGCUCUAGGUAAAGGUAGAGAUGCUCCAGAAGGAGGAACUGGACAAAGGGCUUCUUGAAGGCAUCUCCUUCCUUAUCCUUCCACUGCUCCCCAUUUCCUUGCAACCUCCAAUCCUGCACAACAUGUUGGAUUGUAGCCAUUGGGACUGCACAGAUGAAUCUGGUGGGUUGGUCUUUUGUUGCCCAUAUGUAUGGGGAGAGAUAGGAGUUGUCUUCUUGAUGAAGAAGACACCACCUGCUUCUUCUUGGCCUGAAGGGCCUUCUGUUGGAAGUGAAGGGCCAGGGCUCACGCAGCAGCUUACAUUUCAACAGUGAUUUCUCCUGCUGUUGAAAUUGUGUUGUCUGUCUUAAUCGUGCAAGGCUUAUUUUCCCACACUGCAAAAUGAGUUCAGCACCGCUGGUAAGGCUGGGGGCUGGGAUGUUUUAAUUACUGUUUUUGCAGUGCUUUGGGGCUCUGGAGAGAAUGGUGCUGGAGCCCUGGGAAGGGUUUGUAUUACGUUUUGGCAGAUAGCAUUCUGUACGUGAGCUCUGUGGUCCUGUCAACAGCUCCUUCCUGACCCUUGGGCUUCCUAAUGCAAGCAUUGUGCCCACCCCACCCCUAGAGCCACUUGCCACUGCUGACCAUCACUGCAUAGUAACAGGGGACCUGCUUACGUCCAGUGUCCACCUCCAGACCAAAUAAACACAUAUUGCAUGCCUGGAAAUUCCCA